ACACAUAAAACCAUUAAAUCAGGAAACUAAAUUACUGAUUUAAGGAAAGAAUAAUUUCUAGGUAGAUUUUCCUAAAAUACAUAGAUUUGCACCUAAAUAGCUAUGUUACAGCUAAUGACUAAUUUACAGCUAAUAUAUAAUUACAGCACAUAUUUUUUCUAAUUUUCUAACACUCCCCCUCAAGCUGGUUUGAAGAUAUCCUCCAUAGCCAGCUUGCCAACUAGAAAAUUGAACUGUUUUGUGUGUAGUCCUUUGGUAAAGACAUCAGCCACUUGUUCUCCAGUAGGAAUGUGCUCCAUAUGAACCAAUCCAUUAUCUAUCUUCUCCUUGAUGAAAUGCUUGUGAACCUCCACAUGUUUUGUGCUGUCAUGAAGGACUGGAUUGUGUGCUAUUGAGAUUGCUGCCUUGUUGUCACAGUACAACUUCAUAGGAGAUGAUUUUGUCGCUUUUAACUCUUCCAACAGCCUCCUAAUCCACAUGAUCUCACAAAUACCAUGGGCUACAGCUCUAAAUUCAGCCUCAGCACUGCUCCUAGCUACCACAUUCUGUUUCUUGCUUCUCCAUGUAACCAAAUUACCACCUACAAAUGAACAGUAUCCAGAAGUGGAUCUUGCUGUUGGAUAGCACAUAUAAUUAGAGCUAAUAUCUUCUUCCAUUGAAUUCACAAGCCACGUCAUCACCAUGGAAUUCUCGGCAUCCCAUGUAACAUAGGCCGGAUCAUCCACUGCAGGAGCCUUCUUUUCACCAGUCAAAUAGCCCAUUUUUCCACGCCCUCUAAUAUACAUCCUAACUGACUGAGACCAUCUCAGAAAAUUGUCACCAUUCAAACGAAUUGUGGUGAUUUGUACAGAAUGAGAUUCUGAGGAGAUAGCACUAAUUUUUGAAACAUCCGUGCUACUAGGAUUGUUUAUAGAGGAUUGAGGGACAAUACUGGAAUUGGAUGAAGAGUCAGACAUGGUUUUAGGGUGCAGGGAUCAAAAGGAAGAAAAAAAGAAUUCCGGCAAGAUAUUCUUCCUGCUCUGAUACCAACUUGAAAAAUAGGUUUGCACAGAAUUAAUUAUUCUGUCAUUGAGAUUGUUCUUUUAUAGAGAUUUACAGCACACAUAAAACCAUUAAAUCAGGAAACUAAAUCACUGAUUUAAGGAAAGAAUAAUUUCUAGGUAGAUUUUCCUAAAAUACAUAGAUUUGCACCUAAAUAGCUAUGUUACAGCUAAUGACUAAUUUACAGCUAAUAUAUAAUUACAGCACAUAUUUUUUCUAAUUUUCUAACACUCCCCCUCAAGCUGGUUUGAAGAUAUCCUCCAUAGCCAGCUUGCCAACUAGAAAAUUGAACUGUUUUGUGUGUAGUCCUUUGGUAAAGACAUCAGCCACUUGUUCUCCAGUAGGAAUGUGCUCCAUAUGAACCAAUCCAUUAUCUAUCUUCUCCUUGAUGAAAUGCUUGUCAAUCUCCACAUGUUUUGUGCGGUCAUGAAGGACUGGAUUGUGUGCUAUUGAGAUUGCUGCCUUGUUGUCACAGUACAACUUCAUAGGAGAUGAUUUUGUCGCUUUUAACUCUUCCAACAGCCUCCUAAUCCACAUGAUCUCACAAAUACCAUGGGCUACAGCUCUAAAUUCAGCCUCAGCACUGCUCCUAGCUACCACAUUCUGUUUCUUGCUUCUCCAUGUAACCAAAUUACCACCUACAAAUGAACAGUAUCCAGAAGUGGAUCUUC
rnacentral:lncRNA from 1 species